rnacentral:rRNA from 1 species
UGGGGAAUCUUGCACAAUGGGCGAAAGCCUGAUGCAGCAACGCCGCGUGCGGGAAGACAGCCCUAGGGUUGUAAACCGCUUUCAGCAGGGAAGAAACUGACGGUACCUGCAGAAGAAGAUGCGGCCAACUACGUGCCAGCAGCCGCGGUGACACGUAGGCAUCAAGCGUUAUCCGGAUUUAUUGGGCGUAAAGAGCUCGUAGGCGGUUCGGUAAGUCGGGUGUGAAAACUCUGGGCUCAACCCAGAGAGGCCACUCGAUACUGCUGUGACUAGAGUGCGGUAGGGGAGCGGGGAAUUCCUGGUGUAGCGGUGAAAUGCGCAGAUAUCAGGAGGAACACCAGUGGCGAAGGCGCCGCUCUGGGCCGUAACUGACGCUGAGGAGCGAAAGCAUGGGUAGCAAACAGGAUUAGAUACCCUGGUAGUCCACGCCGUAAACGAUGAGUGCUAGAUGUUGGGAUUUUCGGAUUUCAGUGUCGCAGCUAACGCAUUAAGCACUCCGCCUGGGAGUACGGCCGCAAGGUUAAAAC